AUACAGAUUGUGUUCUCAAUGUCCAUAGCUGCCGCAGGUGUUUACGGUGGAGGUGUCGCCAUCAAAAACCAUCAGCAAAAACACCACCAAGUCAAUGAUACAAGUACAAGAAGAAGUUUUGCCAUGCAAUAGUCGACCGCUAACGCCCUUUUCGAUCAAUUUCGUAAGUGUAAAGAGUACUACCAGAGACGCAAGAAUACAAUCCAAAAAGUUUCAGCCUUGACUGUAAAUUAAGUGAAUUUAAUUCAAACACUAAGGAUUGCACUGGCUUAACGGUGGCAAUCAUUCGGAGCAAAUGGGCUGGCCCGACAAGAAUCCCCUUUAAGUUAAACAGAUUCAGAUCAGUCGCUCGGCGAUUACUGACGAUGUCGGCUAGUUGAAUCCAUCGAUUUUCACACAGAAAAUCAACAUCAAAAACAUCAAGAAAAUUCAGCAGCGUCAUGGCCAACCUGCCUAUUAACCA